rnacentral:rRNA from 1 species
UACGUAGGGGGCAAGCGUUGUCCGGAAUUACUGGGCGUAAAGCGCGUGUAGGCGGGACGGCAAGUCUGGUGUGAAAGGCUCGGGCUCAACCCGAGAUGGCCGCUGGAAACUGCCGUUCUUGAGGGUCGAAGAGGAGAGUGGAAUUCCUGGUGUAGCGGUGAAAUGCGUAGAGAUCAGGAGGAACACCCAUGGCGAAGGCAGCUCUCUGGUCGACCUCUGACGCUGAGACGCGAAAGCGUGGGGAGCGAACGGG